UACUUGGAGGCCGAUGCUGGCAUUAUC
rnacentral:sRNA from 1 species